ensembl:lncRNA
GGAUCUAUGUGUUUAAGAGUGUGAGCUGGAAAGUGGGCUGGAAAGUGAGCUGCGUUCAGGGGAUCUAUGUGUUUAAGAGUGUGAGCUGGAAAGUGGGCUGGAAAGUGAGCUGCGUUCAGGGGAUCUAUGUGUUUGAGAGUGUGAGCUGGAAAGUGGUCUGGAAAGUGAGCUGCGUUCAGGGGAUCUAUGUGUUUAAGAGUGUGAGCUGGAAAGUGGGCUGGAAAGUGAGCUGCGUUCAGGGGAUCUAUGUGUUUGAGAGUGUGAGCUGGAAAGUGGUCUGGAAAGUGAGCUGCGUUCAGGGGAUCUAUGUGUUUGAGAGUGUGAGCUGGAAAGUGGUCUGGAAAGUGAGCUGCGUUCAGGGGAUCUAUGUGUUUAAGAGUGUGAG